rnacentral:tRNA from 1 species
AGUAGUAUAAUCUAAUAAAGAUAUUUCAUUGAUGGAGAAAAUAUAGAGUUAUCCUUACUACUA